CGGCUUCGUUGUGGGCGACUGGAAUGGAAAAAGAAAUAGAUCAAGCAAUUCGAAGAUAAAAUGGAUGUUGUCUGAAGAAGGCCGGGGCUGACCCCACACCCUGCUCUUCAGGCCUCUGCAGAAAGAGAGGAUAGCAAAGACAAGAGUCCCAAUCCGAACACAGUCGGGCAUUGAACCAAUGAAGACUACAGAUUAUGCAAAGCAAGACAGAGGGAGGGAGAGAAACCUUCAAUGACGAG